UACGUAGGGGGCAAGCGUUGUCCGGAUUUAUUGGGCGUAAAGAGCGUGUAGGCGGUCAGGUAGGUCCGUUGUGAAAACUCGAGGCUCAACCUCGAGACGCCGAUGGAAACCAUCUGACUAGAGUCCGGAAGAGGAGAGUGGAAUUCCUGGUGUAGCGGUGAAAUGCGCAGAUAUCAGGAAGAACACCCGUGGCUAAGGCGGCUCACUGGGACGGUACUGACGCUGAGACGCGAAAGCGUGGGGAGCAAACAGG
rnacentral:rRNA from 1 species